GAUUGCACAAACAUGCUUUGCUGGUCAAGUUCCGGCCUAGGAGAGGAAGGCUCCCGUUCCAGCAGUGCGCACUCCCCAACUAUUUGUUGCUGGGAGUGGAACCCAGGCACACUGGGCAAGUGUUCCACCAUUAAGCUGCACGUCCUGCCCUUCGACUACGAGUCUCUUCCUGGUGAAGAACGACUGUAUAGACAAGUGGAUCCUUUCAGAGCUGAGGUUUCUGCCAGGAGAAAAGCACAAGAAGCUCACAAGAGGAGCUGGGGACUUCUGGGUACCUGCAAGAUAAAGGAUGGGUUAUGGCGUCUAAGCUGGCUGGAGAUCUGAUGGGGGAGGAACAGAAAGGAAGAGGCUCAUGAAGCUGAGAAAGAUCCCAGACCCGGAGUUACAUUCCCGGUGCCUCACCUCCCACUAACCAACUGAAGACCAAAGCAAGUGAUAGCCAAGACUCAGAGCUCCUAAGGUUGGGGAGGAUGGACAGGUGUACCUACAGUGUUGCGUAGGAGGGGAUGAUAGGAAAAGGUCACCGGGCGAGGGACGGAGUCAGGGAGUGCAGUGAUGGGCUGAGGUCACUCAGCAGGUCGGACUGCUGUGGCUUCAGGAGGACUGUCACAAGUCUGCCUCUGGCCCGGCAUCUGGAAGUGUGUACUGCCAGAUAGCCCCUCCCACGCCCCAAUUCCAGAACUGCUAAGAAUGGCUCACUGUCUCUACACCGUCUGCACAAACAGUGUGGUUUACUUGUGGUUACUGCUGAAAGUGUGGCGUUUGGGUGUAAGGCAGGCAGAGGGUGCUUACAUAGCCGGUCCUCCCCACCCCACUGUGGAAGCCAUGGGUACCGAGUCUUAAGCCUUGUUGGCGGACAGCAUUCCUUCUACCCUCAUACUUCAUGUUGGAGAACUGGGCACAUCCUGAGACGCUCUACUUCCUAAGUCCCCUUCAACACUUGGGCCUGGUGCCUUAUAUGCUGCUCCUGGGCCUCUCCCCUCUGCUUUGAAUUCUUUCAGAGGAACACACCAUGGCCACAAAAAUGAUCUCCUGGACUCCAGGCCAGAAGCCAAAGACAGCCCAAAGGCAGAGAGGAGUUCGGGGUGGUGGUGGUAUACAUCUUCGAGCUCCGCACUUAGAAGGGGGAGUGAGUGUCUUAACUUCAAUGCCAGCCUGGAUCUGUCCCCAAAAUAAAAAUAACCACAUACUUAAAGAAGGGAGUGGAGGACACUGGAUUUCACAAGAUGAGGGUGGUCACGGGUAGACAGUCAUGACCCAGAGUGGAAAAAGAUCAGGUAACUCAAGUUUCUUUUUUGAGAUGGUCAUACUGUAUACCCCUGGGCUGUCCUGGAACUCACCAUGUAGACCAGGCUGGUCUCAAACUCACAGAGAUCUGCCUCUUGGGCGUAGGGAUUAAAGUCCUGUGUCACCAGGCCUCUCCCAAAAGUUUUUGUUUUGUAUUUCGAAGCAGGAGAGGACACAAGACUACCAUACUGCUUACUGAAUGUGUUUCCAGGGCAAGACCUAGCUCACUGCUACCAUGGGGACAAAUGGCAGGCGGAAUGAUAUUGUAUGAAAGAAGGUCGGCCACACAGAGUUCAUCCCUGACCUGCAUUCUCAGGGUUUUCUGGUUCAUCAGGUUAAAGACACAGGACUGAGGGUAGAAAACUAACAUGGCAUGCACACAGCUAGACUUCUCAAGUCCUCAGGGCUCUAAGUCAGUUUUCUCUUCCCAUCUAGCCUUCUCUGGUUUAGGCACAGGCUGCCCCAGCCACACUUUAGUUACUAGAAGCUAGACAUUAUCCAGUGUGGCAUUGUCCGUGAGUAGGUGGGCUAGUCUGUUCAUAUAUCGAACGUGCUCCAAUGAGAAAUCAAGUGCCUGCAAGCCAGAUGGUGAUAACACAGGGGAGCCCCACACUGUGGAACCUCGGCAUGAGACAGAGACAGGGGGUGGGGUGGGCAAGUUUUCAGGUUUGAGGUCACUAUUGCUUGUUUACAGUGAGUUCUAGGCCAGCCAGGGCUACACAGCGAGAGGGGGAAGAAGAGAGGGAGGUGGAGAGAGAGAGAGGAGAGGGGGAGGGAGAGAUGGAGAGACACGCACACACUAUCUGGGAGGGUGGCAAAAUUGCUCAGUGGGUAAGGGUACUUGUUGCCUCCAAGUCUGAUGAUGACCUGAGUUUGACCCCUAGGAUUGACUGGUGAAAGCAGGACAGUGAAUUCAUCAAGCUGUCCUCUGGCUCCAUGCAUGGGAAAACAAACCCCCUGGCACAUUCCUAUUUCUAUGGAUAGAAACAAGAAAUCUGUGUUGGGAAGGAUUAGGAGUGAGCCUUGAAAGAAGGCUCCUGGGAGUGGGACAGAUGGCCUGGCAAUCUGCCUAUGCCGAUUGUUGACCUCUGACCCGUAAAAGGGUCAGUUCUGCUGAUCCAAAGUUGCAGGAUCUCCAUGACGCAGGGCAACCACAGGAUAACCAGGAGAUCUGGUGAGGAUUCAGUAUUGAUGGUGUCACAGAAGCCAGAGUUCUUUUUUUUUUUUUUGGUUCUUUUUUUUCGGAGCUGGGGAUCGAACCCAGGGCCUUGCGCUUCCUAGGUAAGCGCUCUACCACUGAGCUAAAUCCCCAGAUCAAUGACACAUUGCAUUGAGCAUUUGCAAGUGAAGAUGUGUGGACAGAGAGAUAGACUGUGGGACACCCUACAGCUUCCACGGUGUGUCCUAUGCUUUGUGUGUUUUUUUGGGGGGGAGGGUUCAAGAGCACAAAGUAGAUAUGAGGGCACUGGGCCAUGAAACAGGCUGGGGUGCAAGAUGUGAAACUCACAAAGAAUAAAGUUUAAAAAAAAAGGUGAGCUUCACAGAGCUAACCCUCCUCUAGGUGAUGGUGUAGCAUGCCAUUUUCUCUUCCUCUCCUUUCUAUAAGCCUGUCUUCUAGCUAGGUGUGGUGGCCAUGCUUGCAGUCCCAGCAACUGGAAAGCAGAGGCAGAGCGACUGUUACAAGUUCAAAGUCAGCCUACAUGAGUUCCAGGCCAGCCAGGUCCACAUAGUUGACACCAUCUUAAAAUACCAAAAUCAGUAAGGUUGGUGCAUACCGGUCAUUCUAGGAGUUAGGGGGUAGAGGCAGACUUUUUAAAGUUCAAGGUCAGCUCUGGCUGCACAGUACAAACGCAUUCCAGCAUCUGGGAAGCUAAGCCAAGAAGGUGGCGAAUUUAAGGCCAGCCUGGACUUCAUGGGAGAUCUUGUUUCCACCACAAAAUCCCCACAAAUUCUAUAGCAUGCACAUCUUUUUUACAUGUGGUGCCUUCAAGGAAAGGGAAACCUAUUAAUUCCACUUUAUAAACCACCACCUGCAGUGCUCCCUGUACUUAACACAGGGUAAGGAAAUGCUAUUAAAUCUAGAGUGAGAGAGAGCGCCACUGUCCAGCUAACCCAGAGUCCGCACAAUGCCUUUAGCAGUUUCCUGCACUACUGCCGGGAUCUGCACUUUCAAUGACAGGCCAGGGAGGCUGGCAGUUGAAGAUUACCUGGAUUAGGGAGCACCAGGAUGGUAGAGGUGCCCUUCAGACACCUAGUAAACAUGCUCCUCCCUCUCCCUGGUUCUAGAACAUGUCCAAAGCUGGCAGUUGGGACUCAUUAUCCCCUGCCUAGGCCCAGGCUCCACACAACCUUGGCACUGUUCGCUUCCAGACUGCCAGUCUUCGAGAAGUAACUUUCUGGGCUGAGUGGCUCUAGGCAGAUUUAUGCCCCUAAAAGCACCAGUGACUGUGAGUCGCCCCAAGAAAGCCUCACUCCUGACUCAAAACCUGCUCUUGCCUCAGACAGCCGUUUUGUUUCCCUGAAAGCCCAGGACUUAAAAGCCACAACACGGCAUCAGCACAUUUUAAGGCAUUUCCUUAAAAAUCAACCUCAUCCUGCCCUGGAGUUAGAUUUGGGUCUGUUAGUGAUAGGUUUAUGACUUAAUAUGAAAGUAUUUUUUAUCGGUAAGCCACAUUUAUUAAAUAUGGACUGAGCUGGGACUUAGGAGACCCUGGCUCAGGCUCACAGGUCUGGCCCUGAGCUGGUGGAACCUCAAAACCACAAGGCCCUUCCUUUCCUAACUGUGGACCUGGCAGACAGGACUAAGACCUCGGAGGGCCGCUGCCACAGGAGCUUGUCUAGUGUUCCGGUGACACUCAGAACUGUGACUUCCUUUGCUGCCAUCUUCCAGGAAGUUGUCACCACAAGGCUAUGUGGCAAGUCCCCACUUAUCACUGAUUCAAGAGGUUAAAAGCCUUGCCAUUGGAAGAUGCACUGUGGGGUUACCAUGCUGCUGGUUAUUAUUGGGACAACGAAUGCUCCAGUCAGUGACCCAGGGGGCUGUGAGCUCUGGGUGAGCUCACUCUGCAUGAGCAUGGAGAACUGGGUUGGGACAUCUCAGCCUACAAGCAUUACCACAGCAUGUGCUCUGAUGCUUAGUGUGCCUAAAUGUGUGUUCUAUCUCACGAUUUGUGGACCCUAUAAAAGGGCUAGUUGUUCACAUGCAGGAGCAGUAAACUACUGCUGUCAAGUUCUGGAUCUCAACAACGAAACCAAAUUACAAGACAUUUUCUUGUUGAUCUAUACAAAAGAUAUAAAAUUAAAAAAUAAUCAGACACCCUUAAGUAGCCCAAUUCUCCUACAGUGCAGUUUCCCACACGUCUAUCACUACUCAAUGUUUUAUUGAGAAAGUUAACAAAAGCCAAUAUAGUUAAAAAUAUUGAAAUCUUUGGAUCCCUUUAUUCCAUGGCCUUUAUUAAAAACACAAAGUGGCCAGAUCUUUUUCCACUAUAGCUUAAAUAUCAAAAAAGAUUUAUUAGUAAUUUACAGUUAGCAACAAACGUGUACAGAGUCAUCGGUAGGCCGCAGGCCUACACACUAUGUUAGUGAUGUUUUACAGGUGCCAGAUGAUUCUGAAAACUCCAUCUUUUUGAUGGAAAACAGGAGUCAGCAUUACCACAACAGAAUUCCAGGCAUAGCAGGAGGAGCGGGUCAACUGAUAGAUCAACGAGUCUUAAUGUCUUAAAAAGGAGAAGGUUACUUAUUUGAAAAUACAGCAAGGUACAUUCUCAUCUAUGAUUAUUUACAUUCACACACUUAAAAUAUCUGUUAUUUGAACAAAUCCUGUGAUUUGCUACAAAACGAAGUCCAUACACUAUGCAUGAAUAAUUUAUGCUUUUUAGAUAAUGGAAUAAAGUUAUCAAAUCUUCAUUUGUGUUCCAAACAUUACAAAGGAAAUAAAAAACCUUAAGCCUGGAAAGCAAGGGGAAAAAGACCCACCCAUAUCCCUGCUCCUCAGCACACUGACUUCUGCAAGGACACGUAUGUUUGCUGACUUUAAAACGUUUAUUCUUUAAAAAAUUAGUUGCUUUUUAUACAGCUAUACAAAGUUCUUAAUGUUUCUUUGGCAAUGGAAUAUAAUGGAAUUUUACAACUAUAUAAAAAAGUUACCUUUGCCUAAGAAACAGUAUUUACCUGUGUGUACAUAGUUGACUGACAAAAUUCUCUACCAUCCAGCACCCUAAUUAAGUGUCGAAAUAAGCUACCUCAUAUUAUGGGACACACACGUACACACACACACACACACACACACACACACGCGCGCGCGCGCACACACACAAAACUUUCUGUGGCUCAAAACACAGUAUCACGGCCUAUCUGCAGGCAACUCAAAGUAAUUGCCGAAUACAAUUAAUUAGUGAUAAGAAAAAUCCUUUCAUUGAAGAAAAAACACUUAGCAAUUCCAUUUAGCUGGCUUUAGUUCAACUCUAAGCAAGGAAUCAUAACCUGCUACUCCACACACACUUAUGCUUGUGUUUUAAGACGAGCCUUCCUGCCCCAAAGCAACUGCAGUAUAGCUUUGACGUGAAGCAGAAAACAGACAAAACCCAGUGCUGGUGACAGACAGACAGCAACUUCACUUCUUCAUUCUUCACAAAGACCGAACCACUUUCCAGGACCAUGAAGAGCUAGGAGUCACCUAUGUUCAGAGACUUGUUUGUAGACUAUGCAGCAACUUUGUUGUCUUUCUGAAAAGGAAAAGCAAUAUUAGUUCAUGUUCCAAGCCAUGGCUCCUCAGUAAGACCUUUUCCUAGUCUUUUUAGUUUUUUAAGGUUACCUUAAAUAAACCCUUCCUCUUAUUUUCACAGAGAAAAGUUCUGUCCCACUGGUUCUUGGGAAGCAUUGCUCUAACAUCCGCAUCCAACUCUCUGCUUGCUGCAUGACCCCUCAGCAGACCUGACAUGCAGGACGCCAUUCUGCAAUUCAGCGGGACCCCACUACCUUUGGUUGCCCUAACAACUUAAACACAACAACUAUGUGAACUUUCACAUGGCCACUCAUAAAACUCUUUUGAAACAA